AUUGAACGCUGGCGGCAUGCUUUACACAUGCAAGUCGAGCGGCAGCGCGGGGGCAACCCUGGCGGCGAGCGGCGAACGGGUGAGUGAUGCAUCGGAACGUAUCCUCGAGUGGGGGAUAACCCAGCGAAAGUUGGGCUAAUACCGCAUGAGCUCUGAGGAGGAAAGCGGGGGACCUGCGAGGGCCUCGCGCUGGAGGAGCGGCCGAUGUCCGAUUAGCUAGUUGGUGGGGUAAAGGCUUACCAAGGCGACGAUCGGUAGCUGGUCUGAGAGGAUGAUCAGCCACACUGGGACUGAGACACGGCCCAGACUCCUACGGGAGGCAGCAGUGGGGAAUUUUGGACAAUGGGGGCAACCCUGAUCCAGCCAUGCCGCGUGAGUGAAGAAGGCCUUCGGGUUGUAAAGCUCUUUCGGACGGAACGAAAUGGGCGGGACUAAUACUCCUGUCUGAUGACGGUACCGUAAGAAGAAGCACCGGCUAACUACGUG
rnacentral:rRNA from 1 species